CUAACCUCUAGGCUAUCGUUGGCAUUACAUUCUGCAGACAGCUAUGGAAUAUAAUGCUCAAGUGAUGCUGUAUACCCUUCUAAUGUCAGAAAGAUACUCGCAGCAUAUUGGACAUGGUCUCCUGUAUUAUCUGCACACAGAUCAUACGCAGGGAAUUACUGUUCGAAGAUGAAUGCGCCGUAAUGAAGUUGCAAAUGAUCUUCUCAAGACCACUAUAACUCAACAACUGCCACAAAUGUUACAGAGUCCAAAUAUGUGCAGAGGCUGUCGACACCUCAAUGUCUGUACCGUUUAUCAUAAGGUAAUUUGAGAAGUUCUCAGGGUCUUCUUAGUGACAAGCAUCCAUUGUACUCUUUUACGUAUAUAGAUUUUCAAAAUAAUUGGUUAAAGGGGCUUCCAUGUUUACUCAGUUUUCAAUC